CGAGUACUUCCUCCGUUUCAAAAAAAUUGUCUUGGAUUUGUCUAAAUAUGAAUGUAUCGAGUCACAUUUUAGUAUUUAGAUAUAUUCAUUUCUAUACAAAUUUAAGACAAAAAUUUUAGGAUGGGGAGAGUAACAU
rnacentral:pre_miRNA from 2 species